GAGCAGUCAUAAGGAAAUCUACCUUCUCAUCGAUGACUAGCUCGAUGCUACAGUUGUGUGUCUAGUUCUUUGACCUGAGGUGCAUCGACAGUUCACCUUGAAUGUGUUAUAGUUUGACUACAUCAUAACUCGAUCUCCUAGCUAUUCAGAACCCUGAGGUGUAUGUUGGCUGUAGCAUAUCUAUUGUAAGAACCAGAUCGCACC
rnacentral:lncRNA from 1 species